rnacentral:tRNA from 1 species
GCCUGGGUGGCUCAGUCGGUUGAGCAUCCGACUUCGGCUCAGGUCAUUAUCUUGCAGUCUGUGAGUUCGAGCCCCGCAUCAGGCC